rnacentral:rRNA from 1 species
CAAGUCGAACGAGAUCCAAUGUGUAGCAAUACACAGGAAGAUCUAGUGGCGAACGGGUGAGGAACACGUGAGAAACGUACCCCGGACUCUGGGAUAACAAUUCGAAAGGAUUGCUAAUACCGGAUGACGUCGGAGAAUCGCAUGAUUUUCUGACGAAAGGAAUUCCGGUUCGGGAGCGUCUCGCGACCUAUCAGCUAGUUGGAGGGGUAACGGCCCACCAAGGCAACGACGGGUAGCUGGUCUGAGAGGAUGGUCAGCCACACUGGGACUGAGACACGGCCCAGACUCUUACGGGAGGCAGCAGUGGGGAAUCUUGCGCAAUGGGCGAAAGCCUGACGCAGCAACGCCGCGUGCGGGAAGAAGGCUUUCGGGCUGUAAACCGCUUUCAGUAGGAACGAAACUGACGGUACCUACAGAAGAAGGAGCGGCCAACUAUGUGCCAGCAGCCGCGGUGACACAUAGGCUCCAAGCGUUGUCCGGAUUUAUUGGGCGUAAAGAGCUCGUAGGCGGUUGAGUUAGUCGAGUGUGAAAACUUCGGGCUUAACCCGAAGACGCCACUCGAUACUGCUCUGACUUGAGUUCGGUAGGGGAGUGGGGAAUUCCUUGUGUAGCGGUGAAAUGCGCAGAUAUAAGGAGGAACACCGGUGGCGAAGGCGCCACUCUGGACCGAAACUGACGCUGAGGAGCGAAAGCGUGGGUAGCAAACAGGAUUAGAUACCCUGGUAGUCCACGCGGUAAACGGUGGGAACUAGGUGUGGGAUUCAACUAACGAAUUCCGCGCCGUCGCUAACGCAUUAAGUUCCCCGCCUGGGGAGUACGGUCGCAAGACUAAAACUCAAAGGAAUUGACGG